CAGAAGUCACAGAGGCCAAAAGGAGGAGUGGACCCUCAAUUAACAACGAGAUAAUGUCACACAGAAAUGUCAGCAACAUAUUCUGCUGCUGCGGAACAAAGUACUGUCUCAUGACUUUGAACAAACCCACAGAGACUUCAGAGGUAACUGUUUCCUGACCUGGAUUUGUGUAUAUUUAGGGGAAGCAGCUCCAAGGAAUGAAACCUAUGAUACACAGACCUCUGGGACAAUCUGCGUACAGUCAUGCUUUUUUUCCAUCUGAAAAUAGACAAUUUGGUGACCUCCCUCUGCAGCCCCAGCAGGACCAACAGAGACAAACAGAACGGUCGAGGUAGAAAGUGCUCGUGUUGACAUUGCGUCGAGGUGUGGACUUGUCAAGGUCAGACCUGACAAAGGCGUCCAACUUCAACGGGCUAGAGUUGAGGGGAAAAAACUGCAAGUGUGAGCUCAAUAUUAUAUUUUUUUUUGUGACAAGAGCCGGGCUUUGGUGUUGUUCAGCCCAUUGAAAACAAUUUCAGAUAUGAAAGGAGACGUUUUUUUGUAUCUGAAAAUGUACAUUAAAUGGUGUCAACAACAUCCUGGAGGUCACAGUAGAGUCCCCAUGGAGACUGAAUCUGGCUGCGGCGCUCAAAGACUCGACACCCCCCCUCUCUGAGUGGCGGCUCGGUGAUGGCUCUCAGUUUCUCUCGUCAUGUCCCUGGCAGCUUUGACACAGGACUUUCUCUCUGAUUACACACGUCUCAGGGAGCAAAACAAGGACUCCGAGCUGCCACCGGGCACCGGACUCAUCCAGGGCUUUCAGCCUUCAAGAGGACAGAAGUCCGCCUUUAAGGUACAACACAACCACGUGGACUUGCAGAAGUCAAUGCCAAGGCACAGUUUGCUGACAUCACUUUGAUGGACCCUGGUUAAGGUGAACAAAGCUAGACCAAGCCACGCUGCUACUAAUUUCUUGUUACAUAACCUGAUACUUAUAAAUGAUCUUCUGACAAAUAAGGGUAAAUGCCAUCA